GAUUUGUUAUCCAUUGUUAUAUUCUCAGUUUUGAAUAUAACUAAGCAUCUCUGAAUGUAGUAAUUGUGUGAUAACACUUUUGCUUGUACUGAUUUAUUGGUAUGUAAUAAUGAGGGGAAGCAAUAUUUUUGUUUUGGUUUUGUAAGUUGAAUUUCUUGUUUGCAUUAACCUUUGUAUUCAUUUCUUUCUCAUUGGUUAUCCUUUUUUUUUUUUGG
rnacentral:misc_RNA from 1 species